rnacentral:rRNA from 1 species
UACGUAGGGUGCGAGCGUUGUCCGGAUUUAUUGGGCGUAAAGGGCUCGUAGGCGGCGUGUCGCGUCGCGAGUGAAAGACCGGGGCUUAACCCCGGUUCUGCUUCCGGUACGGGCAUGCUGGAGUGUGGCAGGGGAGACUGGAAUUCCUGGUGUAGCGGUGGAAUGCGCAGAUAUCAGGAGGAACACCGGUGGCGAAGGCGGGUCUCUGGGCCAUUACUGACGCUGAGGAGCGAAAGCGUGGGGAGCGAACAGG